rnacentral:rRNA from 1 species
UACAGAGGUCUCAAGCGUUGUUCGGAUUCAUUGGGCGUAAAGGGUGCGUAGGUGGCGCUGUAAGUCGGGUGUGAAAUUUCGGAGCUUAACUCCGAAACUGCAUUCGAUACUGCGGUGCUUGAGGACUGGAGAGGAGACUGGAAUUCAUGGUGUAGCAGUGAAAUGCGUAGAGAUCAUGAGGAAGACCAGUGGCGAAGGCGGGUCUCUGGACAGUUCCUGACGCUGAGGAGCGAAAGUGUGGGGAGCGAACAGG